AACGAAAAUAUAUAGAUACAUA
rnacentral:snRNA from 1 species